UCCAUUAAUGCCUGCACGCUUUGGUUCUCUGGGAAAAAUCUCAUUUUCCUUAUCCUCAAGCAGCCGAUGGACAUCUCCGCAUGCCACCUGCACACCUGCUCCACCACGUGCCUCCCUCUCCUUGAUCUUAUAGCAGCCGCUGCUCUUGGACGAUCUCACUCCCCAUAGGUCACCUCCUUCCUCUCCCUUACCCCUUCCACGCCUGACUCUCCAAACGUGAUCUCAAAAUCCAGGAGCUGAGCUCCUCCCGUGCGUCUCCUUCCGACCCCGUCCUUCAUUCAAGCUGCUGAAGCCGUCUCGCAUCCGAGCCCCUCUUCCAUGGUCGUCGUCCUCUGCUUUCCUUGCUCGGCCUCCACCCCGUCAGGUUUGUGCCAGACGUGCCGCUCCUCCAUCUCCCCAAGCAGCCAUGCCUUCCCAGCCCAUCUCACUGCUCAUCCCCAAGUGCACUUCGGCCAUCAUCCUCCGGCGGGCGCCGCCAUGGGCUCGCCUCACCCAGCUCCUUGCUCGUCGUGUUGGCCGCCUAGUCGUUGCCAUCGCUGCUUUGGCCUUCCUCUGGUGCUCGGCUUCCCUAUCUGCACACAACACCGCGCCCAGCACGCCCACUUGGCAAAUUCCUGUUCGCCUCUUCUCCAAACUCAUCGGCCAUGCUCUUUCCUCGCCGUGGCGCUCUGGUGGUCCGCACCACCUAGCUCUGUGUCAUCUGUCGUUGUCUCCAUCCUCGCUGUGCCACCAGCGCCUACUCGGAGCUUCAGCUUGUCCCCUGCACAGGCCAUGCCCCUACUCUGCUACAGCUUUGCGUGAUCGAGCAGCACGCCCUAAAACCUGCAUAGCCCUGUUCGUCUCGUCAUCACCUUGCUACUGCAUCCGGUGUGGAGCGAUUUGUGUGUGUCGAUAAAGCAAGCGAAGUCCCGCAACGUCCGCCAGGUGUUCGACAAAAAUAAAAAAAUGAGCCAGGUGUUGUCGCCGCGUUCACGGAUUUCUAAUUGACUUGAGUACGUUAGUGAUCACGUGAUGCGGAGGACGAGAGCCGAGUCGACCUCAAGGUGAUGCAAAGGGUGGAUUACUCCGAGAGAUGAUGUCAACGGACCAAGUUCGAGAUGGAUGGAUAUAUCGAGUACCCAGAUGAGAGAUGACCGACAAGCAAAUCUCGUCUAACAAACACUGACUUAAUAGUGUUUAAUCCCAGGCAAGCCCCGGUGCAUUUGCCCCUUCCUUGUGUUUUAAAUGCUUUAUCACCUUAAAUGAUGCAUUAGGUGAUAGGAGUUGUGUGAUGAACAAUUGACGCAUUACCAUUCCUUGGGAUUUGAAUACUAAACCUUGAUCCCUGAUUUAUAAAAAAAGAACUGAUAAUGCUUAACCCUGCUUAGAAACUGAAAAAUCAUUUGUUUUCAAAAAGAAUGAUUGUGGAACAUUGGUUAUGGGCUUUUUAUUCAAAAAUCAAAGCAAACUAAGGUGAUGACUCCACUUCGGCCGGAGUGGGCUCGUCAUUGGAAAAGAGUACCCCUGUCGGGUGCCAAAAAUGGGGAAAUGGUUAAUAAAUCUAGACCAGACGCUGAGCAGACAGAGUCGCCCGUCUGUGUCGAUUAAGGACCGUACCGUUGACUGGCCUGUUGUGGUUGAGACUUUGCAACUAGCCACAUACCCUGGUAUGGGACAGGGUAAGCUUGAACCCGGCUAUUCCAUACGUGAAGAGACAAUCACGCACUGGGAGUGGAGAGAUGGCAAGAGUAGCAUGUACCCUCCUGUCACAGCGCACACCUGGUAGGUAAUGUGCUCUCGGGUGGCGCGGACCUGUUCAUGUAGUGGAGGACUCCGUGGGAACAGUUGACAUAUGCAAGGGUUAAGUGCUACAUAUGUCGUGUGGUUAGAGAUCCCCAGCUGGGUAUAAUCGGUUCGAAUCGUCGUUGCUCCUCGGUUAUGGAGACUCAUCCCGGUGACCAUCAUCGUAGUUAGCAAGUGAAAUAUGAGAAUGAAUAAAAUGCAGCUAGUAUAGGCCAAGUGCUUGAACUAGACUAGGCAAAUAUAGAUUCAGGUAAUAACCUAACUAGUGAAAUAAAACUUGGCUUAAGGAUCAACUGGUAGCAAGCUUUUCUGCAAAAGGAGUCUUUGAUCAUUGAUAAACCUUACCUUGAUUCCCAAUCAACUAGCAUACCCUUGAGAGUCUUUUCUUUAGUCGGGUAAGUCUUGCUGAGUAAUUGCGUACUCAGGGUUUUAUCCCCUGUUGUUUUUGCAGGAGAAGUUUUAUUCCCUUAUCUUUUGGUUAGUUACUUCAUGUGGAGGCCUUGAAGCUUAGAAUGUUAUGUGUAUCUCUUAUGGAAAGGCUUCACCCUUCCAAUUAUUAAAAUAAGUUAUGCACUUUGGGUACUAUCAGGACUUGUAAUAAUUACCAUUCUUCUUAUGUUGUAAAACUUGAGCUUUGGAAAUGUAAAAUAUGUUUUGUAAA